AUACGUAGGUGGCGAGCGUUGUCCGGAAUUAUUGGGCGUAAAGGGCACGCAGGCGGCUGUUUAAGUCCGGUGUGAAAGGUUGCGGCUUAACCGCAAACGGGCACCGGAAACUGAAGAGCUUGAGGGCAGAAGAGGGGAGCAGAAUUCCACGUGUAGCGGUGAAAUGCGUAGAGAUGUGGAAGAAUACCGGUGGCGAAAGCGGCUCUCUGGUCUGCACCUGACGCUGAGGUGCGAAAGCGUGGGGAGCGAACAGGAUUAGAUACCCUGGUAGUCCACGCCGUAAACGAUGAAUGCUAGGUGUUAGGGGGGUCCAACCCCUUAGUGCUGAAGGCAACCCAUUAAGCAUUCCGCCUGGGGAAUACGACCGCAAGGUUGAA
rnacentral:rRNA from 1 species